rnacentral:rRNA from 1 species
GAUAAACGCUGGCGGCGUGCCUAACACAUGCAAGUCGAACGCCCUUUUGCGCAAGUGAGAGGGAGUGGCGGACGGGUGAGUACCACGUGGGUACCUACCUUGAGGUGAGGAAGUACCACCGAGAAAUCGGUGACAAGACCGCAUACGCUUGGCAACAAGCAAAGUCUCGCAAGAGACGCCACAAGAUGGGCCUGCGCCUGAUUAGCUAGUUGGUGAGGUAAUGGCCACCAAGGCGACGAUCAGUAGCUGGUCUGAGAGGAUGAUCAGCCACACUGGGAUUGAGAACGGCCCAGACUCCGUACGGGGGG